AGGUAAAGUGCCUAGGAUUAAAAGAUGACUUGGACAUGGUUGUGAAGUUUGAUGGGGGCAGAGAAAUAGGUAGAAAGCUUGGAUUUAAGUUGUGGCACUUUCCAAUUUUACUAUAAACAAGGGGAACGAGAAUUUGUAUGUAAGAUUUACAAUUUGGUGGCUUCCAGGUGAUAAUUUAUUAUUUAAUAGAUAAUGGCAUAUUUGUUGACUCUGUUACAUUAUGUCAUAUGUAUAAAUUUAUGGUAUAUGUUGCUUCUAUAUUCUUGUCUCCAUUGGUUCCACCGCAAAAGGAUGUCGAUUUUGAAUCUCCGGAAGCUAAAAAACAAAGGCGUGGUUCUACAUCUACUAAGAGAUCCUGUGCUAUAGAAGUCCACAAUCUCUCAAAGAGGAUGUUGUUGCUGAGGUUUGCAAGGAGUUAAAAGAGUUGCCAUCAAGGACAAAAAGAAUGUCAAUAAAAAUUGGACCAAUCAAUUUUGCUACAAGAAAGAAGAAAAAUGAAAACCAUUACAUUUACUUUUGUUCGUAAGCCAAAUUUAUUUUAGAAGAGUUACAAGUGAAUUUUUCCCGUGCAUGAAUCAAU